UUACUUUUGUUUACUAACCAAAAGCACAAAAAUGUGUCACUAACAUCUUUUGUUUGAAGCUUGAGUAUCAUCCAAGACACUUUGUGGGUUCUAUUUAGAUGAUCAGUCAACACAAGGGAAUGGCUUGAGAUACUUCCAACAGGUUCAAAUGGGGUCUAUUCAUCAGUCAAAACGUUAAUCUUGAAGGAGCAAAAGUUUGUUCAUGAACUGUCAUGCUCGCUAGGCGAAGCCCACGCAUUUCGAAAAAAAAAACGAAAAACAAAAAACGAAAAAAAAAAGAACGAAAAUACAAUAAAAUAAAAUAAAUAAAUAAAUAAAAUAUAACAGAAAAUUUUGGGCUUGGGCCUCUCUCAUUUAAAGACCACAGGUCCACAAAAAUCAGGUUAUAAAUUCUGAGUUUCAGUGAAACA
rnacentral:lncRNA from 1 species